GUUUUGGCAAAAGGCUAGGGAGGAAAAUAUAUAUGCACCUAUAUCCGUUCUAGGAAUGGAGACAUUAAUUCUAAGCUGCGUGUAUAGAUAGUCAACAAAUAUGUGUGGGUCCUCUCUAGGUUGUUUUGAAUGAAUAACUUCACUUGGCCUAACCAACAAAACAUUUCCCGUGGUACUUUAAAUACGAAGGUUGAAUAGAUCGGAAUUUGACAUAGUUAGUGCAAUGAUUGUAGAAUGAAAAUUGAUGUAUAUAGUUAUCAAAGGUACCAGGAUUAUAAUUUAAUACGCCAGACGC
rnacentral:lncRNA from 1 species